GGACUACAGGGGUUUCUAAUCCUGUUUGCUCCCCACGCUUUCGCGCCUCAGCGUCAGUCUCGGUCCAGAGAGCCGCCUUCGCCACCGGUGUUCUUCCCAAUAUCUACGAAUUUCACCUCUACACUGGGAAUUCCACUCUCCUCUCCCGAUCUCUAGCCCCACCGUUUCAAGCGCAAUUCCCAGGUUGAGCCCGGGGCUUUCACGCCUGACAAAUGAAGCCGCCUGCGCGCCCUUUACGCCCAGUAAAUCCGAACAACGCUCGCCCCCUUCGUAUUACCGCGGCGGCUGGCAC
rnacentral:rRNA from 1 species